AUACCUAUGGCUGAUUCAUGUUGAGGGUUGACAGAAAACAAUAAAAUUCUGUAGAGCAGUUAUCCUUCAAUUAAAAAAAUAUAAAAGGGGUCUUCUGGGCUCUUCUCACCCUCUUCCCUUUCAGAGAGUCAGCACCACCCUGGCCUUCCAGAGACCCCCCAGCAGACUGGGAGGGGCCAGCUAUCACCUGAUGUGCACUUGGCCUUAAGGUAUAGGUUUUUAACAGUACAGAUGUGUUAUAUUCUACUCUCUGAGUGUAUCCGUUUUAAUGCUUAAGUGACCCCUCAGUCAGUCUCUCCCAUCAGGAAUCUUCCAUAAAUGUAUUAUCCUUAUCCAUCAGAGGGCAGACAGAAUGAAAACCACAAUCUCAGAAAACUAAUCAAACUGAUCACAUGGACCACAGCCUUAUCUGACUCAUUGAAACUGAGCCAUGCUGUGUAGGGCCACCCAAGACAGAUGGAUCAUGGUGGAGAGUUCUGACAAAACGCAGUCCACUGGAGAAGGGAAUGGCAAACCGUAUUCUUGCCUUGAGAACUCCAUGAACAGCAUGAAAAGGCACAAAGAUAGGAAGGACACUGAAAGAUGAACUCCCCAAGUUGGUAGGUGCCCAAUAUGCUGCUGGAGAUCGGUGGAGAACUAACUCCAGAAAGAAUGAAAAGACAGAGCCAAAGCAAAAAUAACACCCAAUUGUGGAUGUGACUGGUGAUGGAAGUAAAGUCUGAUGCUGUAAAGAGCCGUAUUGCAUAUGAACCUGGAAUGUUAGGUCCUUGAAUCAAGGUAAAUUAGUAGUCGUCAAGCAGAAGAUGGCAAGAGUGAACAUCAAUAUUUUAGGAAUUAACAAACUAAAAUGGACUGGAAUGGGUGAAUUUUAACUCAGAUGACCAUUAUAUAUACUACUGUGGGAGGAGAAGGGGACAACUGAGGAUGAGAUGGUUGGAUGGCAUCACUGACUCGAUGGAUAUGAAUUUGAGUAAGCUCUGGACUGUAGCGUGCCAGGUUCCUCUAUCCAUGGAAUUUUCUAGGCAAGACUAUUGGAGUGGAUAGCCAUUCCCUUCUCCAAGGGAUCUUUCCAGCGCAGGAGUCUCUCAUAUGUUUACAUUUCACCAAAACGUCAAGCCUUGGUCAGGAACCGACACACUGUCAUUCAGCUCCCUUUUCUUCAGCUCAAGCAAAUCAUGCUUCCCAUCCCCAGUUCGGUUAGAGCGGGGGAGAUAAAUUCUACUCACACCAGUUGGUCGUACAGUAGUGUCAAGUCACAUGGGGAAGGACAUGAGGAAUUGUAAGUGUGUAAUCAGUGGAUUAGGUCAAAGAUUGUAUUACUUAACCUUGUUAAAUUCAAACUGUUCUCUCAUGAUUUCUUCUUUGACUCCUGGAUUAUUUAGAAGCAAGUCUUUUAGUUUCCAUAUCUUGGGGGAAUGUUUUCAUCUGUCUUUCUGUUACUGAUUUCUAGUUUAAUUCUCAUGAUCAGAGAACAUACUUUGUAUCAGUGUUUAAUUCCUUAAGCCAAAGGCUGUGCUGUGCUGAUGAAAUAGAACCUCUCUGUGCUUAGGAAAUACUUUCUGGAGUCCUUAGGGGUGAAUGGCCAUGAUGUAUGUAACUAACCCUCACGUGGAUCAUGAAAAAAAAAUGUGCGUAUGUGUGUGUGUGUGUGUAGAAACUGCAAGUAAGUGAAGGGCAGGCAGGAAACAUGCAUAAAUCAUAAAGCUAAAGGAUAAAAUGUUAACAGUAGAUGAAUCUUGACAAAGGAUGUGUAGGGGUUCUUUGUACCACUUUUAAUUUUGGCAACUUUUCUGUAAAUUUGAACUCUCCAAAUAAAAAAAUGAAGAGAAAGGAAAAGCUAAUAAUCUCUCCCUACUCAUUCAGUUGUGUAUCCUUCCAUACCCC
ensembl:lncRNA